CCUGGGCCUUCUGCACCAACUGGACAGAAGCACAGACGUGUGGGUCCGGCACUAUUGCAUUCUGAAGGACGGCUGCUUGUACUGCUAUGCUAGCAUCCGCUCCACCCAGGCCUCAGGUGGCCUAUAUCUGCAAGGAUACAGGGUGAUCGAGCAGACCCUUAGCUUCAAGCAAUCAGUGAUUGAACUCACACCUCCAUCUGAAGACUUCCAGACUUUCUAUUUCUGUGCAGAAAACAAAGCAGAAAACCAACGCUGGAUUACAGCUCUGAAAACGUCUAUCAAGAAAUGGCUUCCUUUAAAUCAAGCUAUUCAAGACU